AACGAACGCUGGCGGCAUGCCUAACACAUGCAAGUCGAACGAGACCUUCGGGUCUAGGGGCGCACGGGUGCGUAACGCGUGGGAACCUGCCCUUAGGUUCGGAAUAACUCCCCGAAAGGGGUGCUAAUACCGGAUAAUGUCUUCGGACCAAAGAUUUAUCGCCUUUGGAUGGGCCCGCGUUGGAUUAGCUAGUUGGUAGGGUAAAAGCCUACCAAGGCGACGAUCCAUAGCUGGUCUGAGAGGAUGAUCAGCCACACUGGGACUGAGACACGGCCCAGACUCCUACGGGAGGCAGCAGUGGGGAAUAUUGGACAAUGGGCGCAAGCCUGAUCCAGCAGUGCCGCGUGAGUGAUGAAGGCCUUAGGGUUGUAAAGCUCUUUUACCCGGGAUGAUAAUGACAGUACCGGGAGAAUAAGCUCCGGCUAACUCCGUG
rnacentral:rRNA from 1 species